AAUAGAACAAAAUUCUUGUCCUCAGCUUGACAUACUAAACUACUGGCAGAGAUGUAUUCUCGGGACAGCUUUUUAAAGUCUGUCUGCAAACAGCACCAAGAUUAAACACGUCUCCGGAGCCUGAGUGGGGAUGGCGCGUCUUGACAGGAGCGGUCCUGCAGGCCAGGAGGAUCACAGCCCAGGCUGCACACACGUCAGGAGGUCUAGACAGUGGCCCUUCUAAUUCUGGAAAUGCAGGCGAUCAGCAAAGCCAGCAAAUGGGACGAUGGCAGAUCCAUCUAUUAUGGACACAACUGAGGAGUUUGGAUCUCUUAAUCGCAUACGCCUACCCUGCCCCUCCCUCCUUCCAUCUCCCCACUAGUAACCACUGGUUUACUCCCCACAUCGGUGCAGUUAUGAUUAUAUGACCUGUCUUCACUACCAGUGAUGCCUUCUAGAACCCUUUGUAAUUUGUUUCUUUUCUGUUGCAUCUUGGUCAUUCUCUCAAAUGGACGUUUUACAUCCCAGAUGUGUCUUUAGCCAUAUAUAGUUUUUUGUUUCUGUAAUAAGAGUCUUGUUUCCAUAAUAAUUUUGAUUUUCUCAGUUUUCUAAUCUCUACUCUGAGCCCCUGUAGGUCUCCUUGGAGUUUUACUCUAAGAAAGGUCAUUUUUUCAUUAACACCUUUGACUCCAUGGAGAACCAGUUGUUUAUACUUUUUUUUCGCUGUGCGGCAUCACUUUUUUCUGGUAUGUGUUCUCUACGAGACUUUUACUUUUCAUGUUCUAACUUUCCAUUUCUGGUUGGAGUCAAUCUGGAAAGGUCGUAUCUUAUUUGAUGACAAGUGUUCAGUGAAUCACGUAUUUGCAGGAGAGUGUUGGAGGUGGCAGAGGAUUAAGCUUGAGUAGCUGGAGGUCUGAACUGUGAGGUUGUUUCAGCUUUCUUCUCCCGAGCCCUCCAAGACCAGUGGGCAGCAUUUCCCACCUGCCCUUCUACACAGUCACCCGCUUCUUUCAAAGGCGCGAUCACUGUAAAGUUCCUCAUUCACUUCUAACUCCCCUCCCAUUUCUUCAAAACACACAGGGAGGUAGAAGUCUCCCAAAUGCCACCAAGCCAUACAAAUCUUGUCCAUCGGAGUUCUCUACCUGCUUUGGAGAAUUCAUCCCUCCAUCCACAGUGCUCCUGAUUUGUGGAGCUGGAUUACCUCCCGCAGGGUCCUUCUUUGUCCUGAAUCUGACUCAGUCAUUGGUACGUACAUCCUUCAAGAGUAUUUAGUGCUGCGGGGAAACGUUUGGGGGCAAAACAGCAAAUGAUUAAAAGGAUGCAAAAAAUCACUGAAUUAGAAAUGGACAGAAAUUAUCAAAAUAGUAAUGAUGGUUAUUAUUUCUGAAUAGCAGAACUAUGAAUGUCUGUCAUUUUUUAUAUUUUUAAAUUUCCCACAAAAGCUACAUAAUUAUUUGCAUAACCAGAAAAAUGUAAUGCAUUAAAAAAGGAGUGCAGCCGCUUGGCGCUCGCAAGUUCUACAUAUUUUUACCAAAUCCACAUGAAUAUUUUUAUCAGAUCCAGGCCUAGGUUCCUCUGUAGCUCUUGAGUGGACAUGUUCCACUUCCUCGGUCCCUGAUCUAUCAAAUGGGCUUGAGGCUGAAAACAGAUAAGCAUUGAUCCCUCCCACAAGCCAUGAAAGGGGAAUAGAAAAUGUCUUGAACUUGCUGAGGGGGAAAGAGCCUAUCACCAUUAUGAGAACCAUUUCUGACCAUCUUAGAUACACUGUUCAUCCCUAGCUUAUCCUCUGCUUUUGACUGAGUUACACCUCUGAAAUGAAUUUUCCUUGUUAAACAGAAGCACUGCAGAUGGAUGUAGAAAUCGUCUAGGGAACAGACCUCACAGCUGGUGGCGCCCGGACAGCCUCUUCUCAAGGCUUUGAGCCCAGAUCCCUCCUUGCUUGUCUCACCUUUCCCAGGAGAGCUGAGUGCAAAGGAGUGUGGCCCUCACUAACUCAGAAACACGAACAAGAUGCUGAGAGUGGGACGGCAGAUAGAGAAAGGGCCAGAGACAGAGGCUGAGAAACGACAGAAACACUUGUGACUAGGGUCCCUUCAAAAGUAAAGUUUCAUACAGUUUCUGUAUCAUAAGAAAACAUAAAUAUGGCAGCUGGCAGAAACUGGGCAAUUGGUGAACUAAAUUGAAUGUUGAAGGAUUUUAAAUGCCCUAAAAUGCCACUGUCUUGAUACAAACACACACAUGUACACUUGCAUACCAUUUACAGAAAAACAGGUUUUUUCUCAAUAUAAGGAAGACUUUAACACGUAGAGGCUCUGUAGACGAUGUGGAUUGGCUGAUGAUGGAGAAAGUCAAAUGAGACGACUUACAGACAACUUUGCCGCUCAGAGUUAAUUCUGUGCUGUGUUAAUUCUUCACAGUAAAUUCUGUCUUGACUCACCUGUGUGAUAAGAUCUCUUUACAAGUUAUAUUCAGUAAUUUUAACUCCAAUAAACCCAACGGCAAUCACAUAUUGCCCUUCAACAAGGUCAGCAAAUCACUGAGCAUGGCCAAAGGCAAAGAUUGUCUCUACAUCAUCUCUAGAGAUUUUUCAGAAGCCCUCACUGGAAACAAAGAAGAGUCUGAAAAAUGUUUAGAGGAUUGUGGAUGGCCAAGAUUCCCACUGUUGGAUCACCUCCUGGAUUUUUUGUGCAAAAUUUCAAGUUUUAAAAUGAGAACUACUGUUUAUGGAUAGAAAAAAACUUUCAACAGGCACCUCAUGUCAUUAGAUUAAUUUUCUAUGCACCUCGGGCAAUUCUAUUCGUGGCAAAGCUAUUCUUCUAGACCUGUCCCCAAGCAGGCCCUAAAAUUAAGAAAGCCUACAUCCCCCCAGACACAACCUCUGCAGGCUGGAAGGCAGAGCCCCUUACGUUUGCCCCAGGCACCUCUGACUCUGUGCCUGAACAAGGCAAGUGUGUGCUCUGAACAUUAACACAGCCAGAGAGAAAACAUCCCACAGGGCGAAUCAAUACCCAGCAAAGGAUAAUGGGAUUCCUGUUCAGGCAGCUGUGUCCUGCCCCCUCCCAUUAGCACCUGUCAGCAGAGCAGGCAGGGCGGGUCCACGGGCAACUCGCCUUACAGCUCAGCCCUCGGGAUGGUCAUUAGCACCAGCCGCAGAGGCACCCCACGUGGCCAAAUAGUGUCCUUUUCUCCUUAAAUGCAGACAAACAAUGCCUUCUCUUCUAACAGCUGGCACAGACCUUGUCAAUCUUUCUUGUUUCACUUCUGGUUUUCCCUUUGUGCAGUGUGUAAGGAGAGACUGCGGGAAGGUAGAAAUUAGGUUAUUCAUGUUAAUUUCAGGACAUGUUCCACUCAGGGGCUGAGAACCCAUCUCAGCUGGCAUGAGUCACUUAGAGGUAAUCACGGGAUGAAAAUAAUGCUCCACUGAUUUUGUCAGCUGGUAAACGAUCAGUAUCUACCCUUUGGAGCUUUUUUAUAACCAUUUGCUGAAAAGAGGACUGAACAAUCCCACGUGGCUAAAAAUCUCUCUGUCCCUCUCCCCUCUCUUUCUGCCCCCCCUUUCUUUUAUUCCUUCCUCCUUUCCUUCCUUCCUCCCUCCCUUCUUUCCUUUUUUCCUUCCUUCCUUCCUCUCUCUCCCCUUCUUCCUCAUCCUCCUUUUAUUCCAAAGUAGGAAUGGAUAGCCAUUGAAGGGAACACUUCUGAUCGCAGACAGAGUUAAGUGUGUUCUGUGACCUAGAACUAGAGGCCAGAGCCGACCAGGUACUGCUCAUUUGCCCUUACAGGUGAAGCUGCUUUAGAAAUGCCUGUAUGGUAAAGGGCCAGAAAUUUUAACAUCUUGCAGAAAUGCAUAAUGAACAGAUUUUUACCCAGACAUUUUAUAUUCUACCCAGGAGAAUUGAGAAGGUACUAUUCGGCAGACUCCAUUCAAUAUUUUCAUUUUUGUCUUUUCUGACAGACUGGAUUUUCCUCUUAGCAAUACGUGUACAUGGACUUACAAUUCUGCCACAUUCUCUCUUAAGACAAUUCAAGUCGUUUAGUAAUCGGGAGGAAAAAAGCAAAAUUUCAGAAUGUAUUACAUAAUAAUUAUUUAAUCAUUCUCUCCCUCAUAUAUUCAAUCAUUCACAAAUAUUUGUUGGGCACCUACUAAAUGCCAGGUGCUUGCACACAAAUGAUCUCACUGUUAGUUGGGGGAAUCUACUUGGGGAAGGAAAGGGAAGGUAGGUAUUUUCACCAAAUCUGGUCAUUUUAAAAGAACUCUGGAAACCAGAGACCAAAAAUUCUCAAAUCUUCUACUGACAAUGUAGAUUAGCUCCAGAACCAAUACCUCUUCACAAUGAAAGGUUCUGCCUCUGGAGCAUAGAGAAAAAUUUUAUUUCUCUCUCAUCAGAAAAGUAAUGCACAUUAAUUCCAGAAAGUAUAAAUAAGAAAAAGUAACAAAAAAUUAAGUACCUACGAUCACCAUCCAGAACGUUUCGUAAUUAUCUUUCACGUGUGUGUAUAUGUGUGUUUUCUGUUAUACCCUGAGUCAUCUGAGAUUGCUGAUAUCAAACCAUUUGACAUAGAAAAUGGCAAUGUGAUAUGGCUCAACCUAAUGCUGUAGAUAGAUUCAAGGAAAUGGGAUCAUAGCAUUCAUGCUAUUUAUAUCCUGAUUUUUAAACUUGAAUUGUGUAGCAUACUCUCCUUUUUCUGACAUUAAACAUGUUAAUAGUUUGAAAGUAAACAAGCUAAAUAAUUUCCAAUGGCUCACCAUUUUCCAUUUUAUGGAUAUAAGAUAAAUGGUCACGCAUAGCAGACUAUUAAAAGGUUUUUCUGCGUUUUAAUAAUGUUACGAAAAGCAUCCCUAUCUCAAGUUUCUUCCAAUUAUGUCGUUGAUACUUUGAAGUUAACUGUGAAAGAGGCACUCUCCAACCUCCAGCAGAAUAACAAACACAAGCACUUAGAAUUUUGUAGAUUAAGCUCAAUUUUUGAAUAAGGCUGAUAAAUCAAGGACUGUUAGUAUGUACCCUUGACCCUGAUCUCCCACAAAAUUAGUUUGUGUAGUCAACAGCUUGUCCUGUCCAAAUAUUUACCUGCCACCAUCACUAAGAUACACGCCGCCAUCUAUCUGUUGAAACAGUCUUCCUGAUUUAAUAAUGUCCUCCACUCUGGGAUACCUACACUGCUACAGACUCACCAGGCUGUGUUCUCUGACCCCCACCAACACCA